CUACGGGAGGCUCCAGUGGGGAAUAUUGGGCAAUGGGCGCAAGCCUGACCCAGCAACGCCGCGUGAGGGAAGAAGGUUUUCGGAUUAUAAACCUCUGUCCUUGGGGACGAAGAAGUGACGGUACCCAAGGAGGAAGCUCCGGCUAACUACGUGCCAGCAGCCGCGGUAAUACGUAGGGAGCAAGCGUUGUCCGGAAUUACUGGGCGUAAAGGGUGCGUAGGCGGCAUAUUAAGUCAGGUGUGAAAUACUCGGGCUCAACCCGGGGGCUGCAUUUGAAACUGAUAUGCUGGAGUGUGAGAGAGGAUAGUGGAAUUCCUAGUGUAGCGGUGGAAUGCGUAGAUAUUAGGAGGAACACCAGUGGCGAAGGCGACUUUCUGGCUCAUAACUGACGCUGAGGCACGAAAGCGUGGGGAGCAAACAGGAUUAGAUACCCUCGUAGUC
rnacentral:rRNA from 1 species